CAUGUAACUUUAUAAAUAGCCGCAGAAUUCUGUGCUAAGGUAGCAUAAUCAUUAGCUUUAUAAUUAAAAGAUAGAAUGAAUGGUUAAACGAAAUAAUAACUAUUUACAUAGUUUUUAAAUUAAUUUAAACCAGAAGUAAAAAUUCUUCUAAAUAAAAGAAAGACGAUAAGACCCUAUAAACUUAAUUCAUUCAGCUGGGGCGGCAAAAAAAAAUACCUUCACCAUUUCUCACCCAAAACAAACAAACAAAGAUUAAUAAAAAGUUACUUUAGGGAUAACAGCGCUACUUCUUUUAAAAGACCUUAUUUAAAAAGAUACUACGACCUCGAUGUUGAAUUAUAUUCCUAUAAUAGAGCAAAAACUAUAAAAGGUAGUCUGUUCGACUAUUAAAAAAAU
rnacentral:rRNA from 1 species